AUUGAACGCUGGCGGCAUGCUUUACACAUGCAAGUCGAACGGUAACAGGGUGCUUGCACCGCUGACGAGUGGCGAACGGGUGAGUAAUGCAUCGGAAUGUACCGUGUAAUGGGGGAUAGCUCGGCGAAAGCCGGAUUAAUACCGCAUACGCCCUGAGGGGGAAAGUGGGGGACCGAAAGGCCUCACGUUAUACGAGCAGCCGAUGUCUGAUUAGCUAGUUGAUGAGGUAAAGGCUCACCAAGGCGUCGAUCAGUAGCGGGUCUGAGAGGAUGAUCCGCCACACUGGGACUGAGACACGGCCCAGACUCCUACGGGAGGCAGCAGUGGGGAAUUUUGGACAAUGGGCGCAAGCCUGAUCCAGCCAUGCCGCGUGUCUGAAGAAGGCCUUCGGGUUGUAAAGGACUUUUGUCCGGGAGCAAAUCCUAGUGGUUAAUACCUACUGGGGCUGAGAGUACCGGAAGAAUAAGCACCGGCUAACUACGUG
rnacentral:rRNA from 1 species